rnacentral:rRNA from 1 species
AUUGAACGCUGGCGGCAGGCCUAACACAUGCAAGUCGAGCGAGCGGCGGACGGGUGAGUAAUGUCUUGGUAACUGCCUGCUGUAGGGGGAUAACUACUGGAAACGGUAGCUAAUACCGCAUACUAUUUGAUGUUCCCAGAUGGGAUUAGCUAGUGGGUGGGGUAAUGGCUCACCUUGGCGACGAUCCCUGGCUGGUCUGCGAGGGUGACCAGCCAUACUGGAACUGAGACACGGUCCAGACUCCUACGGGAGGCAGCAGUGGGGAAUAUUGCACAAUGGGCGCAAGCCUGAUGCAGCCAUGCCGCGUGUGUGAAGAAGGCCUUCGGGUUGUAAAGCACUUUCAGCGGGGAGGCGUUACCCGCAGAAGAAGCACCGGCUAACUCCGUGCCAGCAGCCGCGGUAAUAC